UCAUUGUUGCCUUAUCUUUAUCUCUCCUCCAACCAAACAAAUUAAAAACGACCCUCAAUUAAUGCACAAGAUAAAACCAUUACUAAACAGCGCCACCACCAUUAUACUCUCUGUUGCUAAUCAUGGCUAGCAAAUUGGCCUUCACACUGACAUACCCGCUUCCACUUACACCAAUCUCUUCCUUGUCCUCCUCUUCUGCUUCUCGACUCCACCUUCUUCAAUUCAAUGGCCGCCACAUAUGCCUUCGCCCUCGGCUAUUUCUGUUUUCUCCCAUGGCCACAGCCGAUCAAGACAAGGUUGAGGAAGAUGCUGCCGUUGUUGAUAGUAAAAUCCUACAAUAUUGUAGCAUAGACAAAAAAGAGAAGAAAUCAGUUGGUGAAAUGGAGCAAGAAUUUCUACAGGCACUGCAAGCAUUCUAUUAUGAGGGGAAGGCUAUUAUGUCAAAUGAGGAAUUUGAUAAUCUUAAGGAAGAACUCAUGUGGGAAGGGAGCACCGUUGUGAUGCUAAGUUCUGAUGAGCAAAAAUUUCUGGAAGCGUCUAUGGCUUAUGUGUCUGGAAAACCAAUCUUGAGCGACAAAGAGUUUGAUGAGUUGAAACUCAGGCUAAAGAUGGAAGGGAGUGAAAUUGUGGCUGAAGGUCCACGGUGUAGUCUUCGUAGUAGAAAGGUUUACAGUGACCUGUCUGUUGACUAUUUAAAGAUGUUCUUGCUGAAUGUCCCAGCAACUGUGGUUGCACUAGGAUUGUUCUUCUUCCUUGAUGAUGUGACUGGAUUUGAGAUCUCAUAUCUGAUAAAGAUUCCAGAGCCUUUUAGUUUCAUCUUAACUUGGUUUGCCGCUAUUCCCUUUAUUUUGUGGCUGGCUCAAUCGAUCACUAGGGCAAUUGUACAAGAUUUUCUGAUUUUAAAGGGCCCUUGUCCCAACUGUGGUACUGAAAAUACCUCUUUCUUUGGGACUAUACUGUCGGUUUCAAGUGGCGAUUCCACCAACAAAGUCAAAUGUGAAAAUUAUAUUUUGCCUCAGCUGUGAAACUAAAAUGGUGUAUGAUUCAAAAACAAGAUUGAUUACAUUACCAGAAGGAAGUAAUGCUUAAAUGGAGGCACGCUUGAUACUAUUGUUUCCUGUAAUGAGAUGAGAUCGUCAUAGGUAGAAGCUACUGAAAUCAUUGUUCUCUAUGGGCCAUGAAAUCAUUGUUCUCAAUGUCGCACACCAUAUAUGCUAGUGAGUUGUAAUGGUAUGAACUUUGUAUAGCAUACGUAGGAUCGUCUACCAGAAGAGAUGAAUUAUAUGAGGAUAUUCUUAACAUCAAGAUUUUUAAUUUGUAGGCACACUUUGGGCCUUUUGCAAAAAUACUGUGCGGCCCCAUUUUUUACUAAUGGAGCGGUAAAAAAAAAAAAAAAGAAAGAAAGACGAAUGAUUAAAACUUGAUUACAAAUUUGA